rnacentral:rRNA from 1 species
AAUCAACGCUGGCGGCGUGCCUCAGACAUGCAAGUCGAACGCGAAAGUCCCCUUCGGGGGACAAGUAGAGUGGCGCACGGGUGAGUAACACGUAGGUAAUCUACCUUUGGAUGGGGAAUAACAACCGGAAACGGUUGCUAAUACCGCAUAAUGCAGCGGCACCUAAUGGUGACAGUUGUUAAAGCGGGGGAUCGAAAGACCUCGCGUCUAAAGAGGAGCCUGCGGCGGAUUAGCUAGUUGGUAAGGAAUGGCUUACCAAGGCUACGAUCCGUAACCGGCCUGAGAGGGCGGUCGGUCACACUGACACUGACAUACGGGUCAGACUCCUACGGGAGGCAGCAGUCGGGAAUUUUGGGCAAUGGGCGAAAGCCUGACCCAGCAACGCCGCGUGAAGGAUGAAAUCCCUCGGGAUGUAAACUUCGCAAGAACGGGAAGAAUAAGUAGGGGACAACUACCCCCUAUGAUGACGGUACCGUUUGUAAGCUCCGGCUAACUCCGUGCCAGCAGCCG